rnacentral:rRNA from 1 species
CACGUUCGGAUCGCAGCUGCAACCCGCCUGCGUGAAGUCGGAAUCGCUAGUAAUCGCGGAUCAGCAUGCCGCGGUGAAUACGUUCCCGGGCCUUGUACACACCGCCCGUCACACCAUGGGAGCCGGUAAUACCCGAAGUCAGUAGUCCAACCUCGUGAGGACGCUGCCGAAGGUAGGAUUGGCGACUGGGGUGAAGUCGUAACAAGGUAGC